AUUGAACGCUGGCGGCAGGCCUAACACAUGCAAGUCGAGCGGAUGAAGAGAGCUUGCUCUCUGAUUCAGCGGCGGACGGGUGAGUAAUGCCUAGGAAUCUGCCUGGUAGUGGGGGACAACGUUUCGAAAGGAACGCUAAUACCGCAUACGUCCUACGGGAGAAAGUGGGGGAUCUUCGGACCUCACGCUAUCAGAUGAGCCUAGGUACGAUUAGCUAGUUGGUGAGGUAAAGGCUCACCAAGGCGACGAUCGUUAACUGGUCUGAGAGGAUGAUCAGUCACACUGGAACUGAGACACGGUCCAGACUCCUACGGGAGGCAGCAGUGGGGAAUAUUGGACAAUGGGCGAAAGCCUGAUCCAGCCAUGCCGCGUGUGUGAAGAAGGUCUUCGGAUUGUAAAGCACUUUAAGUUGGGAGGAAGGGCAGUAAGUUAAUACCUUGCUGUUUUGACGUUACCGACAGAAUAAGCACCGGCUAACUUCGUGCCAGCAGCCGCGGUAACAC
rnacentral:rRNA from 1 species